rnacentral:rRNA from 1 species
GACGAACGCUGGCGGCGUGCUUAACACAUGCAAGUCGAACGGAAAGGCCCUGCUUUUGUGGGGUGCUCGAGUGGCGAACGGGUGAGUAACACGUGAGUAACCUGCCCUUGACUUUGGGAUAACUUCAGGAAACUGGGGCUAAUACCGGAUAGGAGCUCCUGCUGCAUGGUGGGGGUUGGAAAGUUUCGGCGGUUGGGGAUGGACUCGCGGCUUAUCAGCUUGUUGGUGGGGUAGUGGCUUACCAAGGCUUUGACGGGUAGCCGGCCUGGGAGGGUGACCGGCGACAUUGGGACUGAGAUACGGCGCAGACUCCUACGGGAGGCAGCAGUGGGGAGUAUUGCACAAUGGGCGGAAGCCUGAUGCAGCAACGCCGCGUGCGGGAUGACGGCCUUCGGGUUGUAAACCGCUUUCGCCUGAGACGAAGCGUGAGUGACGGUAAUGGGUAAAGAAGCACCGGCUAACUACGUG